rnacentral:rRNA from 1 species
GACGGAGGGUGCUAGCGUUGUUCGGAAUCACUGGGCGUAAAGGGCGCGUAGGCGGCCUUGCAAGUCGGUUGGUGAAAGCCCGGGGCUCAACCCCGGAGGUGCGGCCGAGACUGCAGGCUGGAGGCCGGAAGAGGAGGGUGGAAUACCCAGUGUAGAGGUGAAAUUCGUAGAUAUUGGGUGGAACACCGGUGGCGAAAGCGGCUCUCGUGGUCCGGACCUGACGCUGAGGCGCGAAAGCGUGGGGAGCAAACAGG